rnacentral:rRNA from 1 species
CAUGUAGGCGGGUCUUUAAGUCAGGGGUGAAAUGCCAAGGCUCAACCUUGGAACUGCCUUUGAUACUGGAGAUCUUGAGUCCGGGAGAGGUGAGUGGAACUGCGAGUGUAGAGGUGAAAUUCGUAGAUAUUCGCAAGAACACCAGUGGACGAAGGCGGCUCACUGGCCCGGAACUGACGCUGAGAUGCGAAAGCGUGGGGAGCAAACAGGAUUAGAUACCCUGGUAGUCCACGCUAGUAAACGAUGGAUGCUAGCCGUUGGGGAGCUUGCUCUUCAGUGGCGCAGCUAACGCUUUAAGCAUCCCGCCUGGGGAGUACGGUCGCAAGAUUAAA